GCUGUUCCUGCUAACUGCUUGUUCGUGCCCAGCCGGGACUUCCUCGCUAUAAAUCCUUGAUGUAACCAUGGCUACAAUACAACUGGCAAUUACAAAAUUUCUUCCAUGUUAAUGCUCCACUAAUUAUGUUUGAAUGUGUUUUAAUGGAGGAGAAUAGUCGGAGGUGAGAUCCGCUCCAGAGAUGAGGACGGUGUGUGGGCUCGCGUGCUUCCACCUGCCACGGUUCCUGGGCUCGGCAGACACUCAGAGACCUCAAGUGGAGCUUGUGCGCUGGUCUGAAGGGCAGAGUAAGAUGGAAGAAUGGGACUCUACUCAUUACUUCCAUACAAUGCCUCAUAUUGCCCUCUCUCACACAAAUGUAUCUUCAAAGGAGAACAGAAAUGAGGUCACAGUACCUGUCAAUAGCAAAAUAACAAGAGACAAACUGGAAUGAAAAGCAAGGUAUCUCUACACAAAUGGAACUUGGAGACUGAGUGUGAAUUCUGUGACAGUGUUCUAUAAAGAAGAAGACAAACGAGCAUGAAGAGAGGACAGGAAAUUUGAAUCCUAAAUGUGACUUCCUGUAUGAAAACAUGUAACUUUGGGCAAUGACUUUCAUUUUCCCUUGAUGAUGGAAGAAGAUGAGAUUCCCUGGAUUCAAGAAGACUCUAUCUAAAAAAUGCAUUUAAUAAAUAAUUUAAAUAAAAUACAUCCCCAUUGGCCCCUAAACAAAAUUCAUUUUUAUCAUUUAUAGAACAUUUUGUCAUAAGCUUUACUUAAUACCACAUUUCUCGAUUCUGGGUCUACAUCCAGAAUGUGUGCGAUUCAUCUGAGUCACACUUGCUGUGUGAAACCAAAUCCACAGGGGACUCUGGUUAAAAAUUCUUUUAAGUCAAUAUUUUAAAAGUAUUAUUGGGACACUUCAUUUUCAGUCAUUUAUUUGUAUUUUGCAUUUAUUUAGAUCAUUUUGAACUAUAUGAAUAUAUAUAUAUAUACACACAUACAUGUAUUGUUAUUUUGUUUGAAAGUUAUAUAUAUGCAUAUAUACACUCAAAUGACUCUCCCCACAUUCUCUUAUCUCCUUUCCACCUAUAUCAAGAUGUUCUGUCUUUCCUCCAGUUCCUUUCCCACAUCAUGAUUGUGGUUUGUGAAAUGUGGUUUAAUCAAGUCAUUCUCUGUAAUUUCUGUAUUGUAAAUGUUCAUUGGAGCCUAAAGAGGACAUAUGCACACACAUGUACACAUAUGUGGCUCUUUCUUCUCUCUCUCUCUCUCUCUCUCUCUCUCUCUCUCUCUCUCUCUCUCAUCCUCUCUCAUUCUCUCUCUCUCUCAUCCUCUCUCUCUCUCUCUCUCUCUCUCUCUCUCUCUCUCUCUCUCUCUCUCUCUCUCUCUCUGUGUGUUCUAGUCCACAUGUUCUGACCCCUGGCUACUUGGCUCCUUUGUUUCUGUCCAGUGAAUUUUGACACAAACAUAAUGCUUAACAUCAUGUGGUGGAGGAUAGUGGCUCAGUUCAAGAAGGGUUUGAUGCCGACAUAAAGACAGAGGGCAAGUGACAAGGAUGUUCAGCCUAGUCAUGACUUACACCCUCCUUCUGUAUCUACCUCCUUAUACUCCAUUCAUUUCUGAGCUCACUAACAGAUAGACACUUUAUUGGAAUUAGAGAUCUCAAAAUUCAGUCACCUCCCAAAUGCUUGUCAGCUGUAGACUAAGCCUAACAACAAAUCUAACAUGACCCUUAGCGUUGUAGCUUUCCACUCUAAAACCAAGC
rnacentral:lncRNA from 1 species